rnacentral:ncRNA from 1 species
GGUGUAACUGGACUCAACCCUAGUUGUGCCGUAGCUAACGCGUUAAGUAUACCGCCUGGGGAGUACAGUCGCAAGGCUGAAACUCAAAAGAAUUGACGGACUCUGAUAUUGGCUCUUGACUUGUCAUGUGUAGAAUAACCAGGAGACUAAGAAAGCUCAUCGUCAGGUGAGCUGGAGUCGUCGUUGAAAUACUGGUCUUGAUAAGUCGGGAAUCUAACGAAAUCCCAUGAAGCUGGGAUUCGGACAUUGUCAGACGGGCAGUUUUGCUGGGGCGGUAUCCUCCUAAAGAGUAACGGAGGAGUCCAAAGCUUGCCUCAUCGUGGUUGGCAAUCACGAGUAGAGCGUAAAGGUAUAAGGCAAGUUAACUGUGAGACCUGCAAGUCGAACAGAGACGAAAGUCGGGCUUAGUGAUCCGGCGGUGGAAUGUGGAAUCGCCGUCGCUCAACGGAUAAAAGGUACUCCGGGGAUAACAGGCUUAUCGCCACCAAGAGUUCAUAUCGACGUGGCGGUUUGGCACCUCGAUGUCGACUCAUCGCAUCCUGGGGCUGAAGAAGGUCCCAAGGGUUUGGCUGUUCGCCAAUUAAAGCGGUACGCGAGUUGGGUUCAAAACGUCGUGAGACAGUUUGGUCCCUAUCUUUUGUGGGCGUAGGAUACUUGAGAGGAGCUGCUUCUAGUACGAGAGGACCGAAGUGGACGAACCAAUGGUGGAGCCGGUUGUUCUGCCAGAGCAUUGCGGGGUAGCUAUGUUCGGAACGGAUAAGCGUUGAAAGCAUAUAAACGCCAAGCCUCCCUCAAGAUAAGGUAUCCCUAUCAGACACCAUAUAGACCAUGUGGUUAAUAGGUUGGGUGUGUAAGCGCAGUAAUGCGUUGAGCUUACCAAUACUAAUCGGUCGAUCGGCUUGACCAC